rnacentral:lncRNA from 10 species
GUGUGUUGGUUGCCUUGAUGAUUCACAUCCCACAGGAAGAAUUGCUGUUAGCAACAUGAUAUUCUGAAAUGGUGAAGAACUUGUGAGAAAGUGCCCAGUGAAACAAAAUACAUCUGCCCUCAAUUUACAUCAUUGUUGCUUCCUGAAAAUGUCAGUGGUGUAUAUGAAAACCACGCAAGGAAUAUUUGUGCUUAGAUAUUGACCAGCAUUAGGUACUGGGAUUGGAUCACCACAAGUGGAUUUUUUACCUACCUGAAUGUGCAACAGGACAUUUAAAAGCUGUGCUGAAGACAGGAUAAUGCUUUCCCAUGUGGGACUGUCCCAUCUAUUCCCAGACCUGUUCACUAACUGACAAUGGUGUCCACCAAUCACUGUAACAACCAGAAAAUACCAUUGCAAAUUUACAAGAUGCCCCCUGGGGUGGCACAGCUCUCCUUGAGAACUACCAGUUUAGAUAAACUGAGUCUUCGUUUCAGAUACCUUUAAUAGAUCCAUUGGUCAGAUUGUGGGGUAGAAGAGCAUCAAGCAAGUUAAUACUUAUAAAGAUUUUAGAACAAUGCUUGGCAUGUUGGGAGCUCUGUAUAUGUGGUUAUUAUGCAAAUAAUGCAUCAGUGGUAAUCUAAACACGCCCAAGUUUGUUAAAGUUAAUAAGCAGACAAUUAUGAGGGCUAAGCCCAUGUGACCAGUUGAUUUUUUUUUUUUUUUGUAAAUGAUAUGAAAUGUACACAAUUUAUGGUAGGUCAUUACGUAUGUAAAAGGUAAGAAGAAGAAUCUAUAUGUUUGCUUUUAUAAACAAGGACACAAUGUUUGCUGGUGACAUUGUUUACCUCUGGAGAGGACUGGAUGGCUGAGGGAUACGAUGAGGACUUUGGAUAUUGGCAAGGUUAAGUAACGUGCACAGUCCACACUCACCAUUGGUAAAGGCAGGACUCAGACCUUGGUCUGAGGGACUUCACACAUAUUCCUAACCAUGACACCAGCCACCUUUCAUCCACUUCAGCUGACAUCUGUCUGGCUUGAGGCCGAAAGAGGGGACACCUUGCAGUCUGCCCGAGCAGCAGCCAUUUGAACCUCCCCCUGGUGCCCUGAGGCUCAAGAACACUUGGAGAGAUAGAAGUGGGAGUUGGCUUGAUUCAUGAAGGAGGAGAGUGAUGGCUUACAAGAUGAGUUGUUCGAGUUUCAAUUGGAGAGAUAAUGCCAUUUAAGAUGAGGAUAACUCCGUGAUGCCUCAGAUGAUUUCAUUGCAGCCUUUGCCUAGACUGCAACAUGGCCAAUAAUGCCACGCCUUGCAUAUGGGUGGCCGUUGUGGCACUUCAGACAUUCUCUAGUAACAGGACCUCGAUGCUGAGAGACAAAAUCUGCAUCCUCACCUGUCAGAUAAGGAGACAGCCCAAAGAGUGAGUGUGGUCACCAGACCAUGCUCUACACGUUAGAACAAAGGACCCCAGAAGCACAUCUGCCCCAGACUCAACCAGAUGGGCUUUGCUGUCCAGACAACAUAGGUGGAGACCUCACAUUUCGAGGGAACGUGGAACACGGAACACUUCAGAUUUUCAACGAUGCUGGAUUUGAGCUGUUCACUUGAAAAUAAAGUCUGUUGCAUCACAAGUGCUGGUUGGCAUCGCUGUCCUCCUAUCAGUGGAUUAAGAAAAGGCACAGCGAAAAACUAGUUUAAAAUCACCAGUCGGAUAUUUUACAGGUGGGUCUUUAAGGAUUGUCUGCUCAAUAUCUCACCCGAGCGCCUGCGUGCCGCUGAUUCUUCCUCUGAACUGUGUUGCAUCUUCCCAUCCCCAGGCGAGGUCCAGCACGAUCACUCACACGGCUGCUGCUAGGCUGGCUCUGCCCGUUAUUCUUCCAUCCUGGCACCAUGCUUCUAAUUUAUCCUGAAUACAUGGAGACUUGAGCACUGAUGGGAUAGAUAAAAAAAACGACAGCAAUCUUCUCUCCAAAAAAGCAACAUAAGACUAGAUAAAAUGGUCAAAAAUAAUCAUUUCAGAAUGAUUCUAGAAAAUGACCAAAGGCAGACAACAAAUUGAGAUGUGUGUUUCGUUUUUUUUGAAUCUACUGGGGCUUGGAAGGAACAGUGGGAGACUAUGGAAUUUUAGCUCAGGGCAGCGUGGUAUAGUUUCACAAUGGAAUACUACUCAGAAAUAAAAGCGAUAAACUGUUGAUACAUGCAACAAUGUGGAUGAAUCUUAAGAUAAUAAUGCUGAGUCAAAGAAGCCAGACAAAAGUAUGUAUAGUGUGAUUCGAAUUAUAUGAAAUUCUACAAAAUAUACACUAAUCUAUAAUGACAGAAAUAGAUCAGGGGUUGCCUGGGGAACUGGGGUGGAGGGUGUGCCAAGAGAGGCAGGAAAGAAGGAUUAUGAAGGGGCAGGAGGAGAGCUUUGGGGAUGGGGAUGUAUUCAUUAUCUUGAUUGUGAUGAUAAAUUCUCCGGUGUACACAUAUAGCAAAAUUUAUCAAAUUAUACACUUUAAACCAUGUGCAGUUUUUGUAUAUGGAUUGUACCAAAAUAAAGUUUUUUAAAGGGAUGCUAAUCAAUGGAUUAUACUACCUGUAGCUUGCCUACACCUCAUCUCCUUCCUCAAAACAGUUAACCUACAGGUACCUAGUAGCUAUUCCAAAACUGCUCCUCGAACUUGUGAAUGAGUAAGAGAAUGAACAAACGCACCCACUUAUCAACCUAUUCUAUGUCCU